ANUNAACGCUGGCGGCAGGCUUAACNCAUGCAAGUCGNNCGGUAACAGGGGAGCUUGCUCCUGCUGACGAGCGGCGGACGGGUGAGUAACGCGUAGGAAUCUACCUAGUAGAGGGGGACAACAUGUGGAAACGCAUGCUAAUACCGCAUACACCCUAAGGGGGAAAGGAGGGGACUCUUCGGAGCCUUCCGCUAUUAGAUGAGCCUGCGUGAGAUUAGCUAGUUGGUAGGGUAAAGGCCUACCAAGGCGACGAUCUCUAACUGGUCUGAGAGGAUGACCAGUCACACUGGGACUGAGACACGGCCCAGACUCCUACGGGAGGCAGCAGUGGGGAAUAUUGGACAAUGGGCGGAAGCCUGAUCCAGCCAUGCCGCGUGUGUGAAGAAGGCCUUAGGGUUGUAAAGCACUUUCAGGGGUGAGGAAGGGUAACUGGCUAAUAUCCAGUUAUCUUGACGUUAGCCCCAGAAGAAGCACCGGCUAACUCUGUGCCAGCAGCCGCGGGUUAAUA
rnacentral:rRNA from 1 species